GUUCAAAACACACACCACCACACACACACCAAAAACCAAAAAACCCAAGAGAGAGAGAGAAACAAAGGGGAAAAGGGAAAUCUUUUUUUCUUUUUCUUUUUCUUUUGGUUUGUUUU
rnacentral:ribozyme from 1 species